rnacentral:rRNA from 1 species
UGCGUAGGCGGUUUUGUGUGUCAGAUGUGAAAGCCCAUGGCUCAACCAUGGAAUUGCAUUUGAAACUGCAAAACUCGAGUAUCGGAGAGGUAGAUGGAAUUCUAGGUGUAGCGGUGAAAUGCGUAGAUAUCUAGAAGAACACCAGCGGCGAAAGCGAUCUACUGGACGAAUACUGACGCUGAGGCACGAAAGCCGAGGGGAGCGAAGA